rnacentral:rRNA from 1 species
AACGAACGCUGGCGGCAGGCUUAACACAUGCAAGUCGAGCGCCCCGCAAGGGGAGCGGCAGACGGGUGAGUAACGCGUGGGAACGUACCUUUUGGUUCGGAACAACUCCGGGAAACUGGAGCUAAUACCGGAUAAGCCCUAACGGGGAAAGAUUUAUCGCCGAAAGAUCGGCCCGCGUCUGAUUAGCUAGUUGGUGAGGUAACGGCUCACCAAGGCGACGAUCAGUAGCUGGUCUGAGAGGAUGAUCAGCCACACUGGGACUGAGACACGGCCCAGACUCCUACGGGAGGCAGCAGUGGGGAAUAUUGGACAAUGGGCGCAAGCCUGAUCCAGCCAUGCCGCGUGAGUGAUGAAGGCCUUAGGGUUGUAAAGCUCUUUUGUCCGGGAAGAUAAUGACUGUACCGGAAGAAUAAGCCCCGGCUGACUUCGUG